UCGAAAUGCCUAUAGACGCAGUCGAAGGGAUUCCUCUUGAAAUGCCAUUAGUGUACUUCUAUGGGCACAUAACUCCUAGGUUGGGACUUAUAUUUGCAGGUGGAACUGGUGAUGAGGAUGAUGAUGAUGAUGAUCAGGAGGACUGAUUUGUUUUUUUUAUCUUUGAAAAUAAUGAAUGAGUGUGUGCUGUAUAAACAAUAUUUCAUGGUGUGCUGUAUAAACAAUAUUUAUUAUGUUGGGAUAUUUUUAUUAAAAUAUUUGUGUUAUAUAUACGUGAGAAUGAAUA